AUGAACGCUAGCUACAGGCUUAACACAUGCAAGUCGAGGGGCAGCAUGGUCUUAGCUUGCUAAGGCCGAUGGCGACCGGCGCACGGGUGAGUAACACGUAUCCAACCUGCCGUCUACUCUUGGACAGCCUUCUGAAAGGAAGAUUAAUACAAGAUGGCAUCAUGAGUCCGCAUGUUCACAUGAUUAAAGGUAUUCCGGUAGACGAUGGGGAUGCGUUCCAUUAGAUAGUAGGCGGGGUAACGGCCCACCUAGUCUUCGAUGGAUAGGGGUUCUGAGAGGAAGGUCCCCCACAUUGGAACUGAGACACGGUCCAAACUCCUACGGGAGGCAGCAGUGAGGAAUAUUGGUCAAUGGGCGAGAGCCUGAACCAGCCAAGUAGCGUGAAGGAUGACUGCCCUAUGGGUUGUAAACUUCUUUUAUAAAGGAAUAAAGUCGGGUAUGGAUACCCGUUUGCAUGUACUUUAUGAAUAAGGAUCGGCUAACUCCGUGCCAGCAGCCGCGGUAAUACGGAGGAUCCGAGCGUUAUCCGGAUUUAUUGGGUUUAAAGGGAGCGUAGAUGGAUGUUUAAGUCAGUUGUGAAAGUUUGCGGCUCAACCGUAAAAUUGCAGUUGAUACUGGAUAUCUUGAGUGCAGUUGAGGCAGGCGGAAUUCGUGGUGUAGCGGUGAAAUGCUUAGAUAUCACGAAGAACUCCGAUUGCGAAGGCAGCCUGCUAAGCUGCAACUGACAUUGAGGCUCGAAAGUGUGGGUAUCAAACAGGAUUAGAUACCCUGGUAGUCCACACGGUAAACGAUGAAUACUCGCUGUUUGCGAUAUACUGCAAGCGGCCAAGCGAAAGCGUUAAGGAUUCGACCUGGGGAGUAAGCCGGCAACGGUGAAACUCAAAGGAAUUGACAGGGGCCCGCACAAGCGGAGGAACAUGUGGUUUAAGUCGAUGAUACGCGAGGAGCCUUACCCGGGCUUAAAUUGCAGAUGAAUUACGGUGAAAGCCGUAAGCCGCAAGGCAUCUGUGAAGGUGCUGCAUGGUUGUCGUCAGCUCGUGCCGUGAGGUGUCGGCUUAAGUGCCAUAACGAGCGCAACCCUUGUUGUCAGUUACUAACAGGUUCCGCUGAGGACUCUGACAAGACUGCCAUCGUAAGAUGUGAGGAAGGUGGGGAUGACGUCAAAUCAGCACGGCCCUUACGUCCGGGGCUACACACGUGUUACAAUGGGGGGUACAGAGGGCCGCUACCACGCGAGUGGAUGCCAAUCCCCAAAACCUCUCUCAGUUCGGACUGGAGUCUGCAACCCGACUCCACGAAGCUGGAUUCGCUAGUAAUCGCGCAUCAGCCACGGCGCGGUGAAUACGUUCCCGGGCCUUGUACACACCGCCCGUCAAGCCAUGGGAGCCGGGGGUACCUGAAGUGCGUAACCGCGAGGAGCGCCCUAGGGUAAAACUGGUGACUGGGGCU
rnacentral:rRNA from 1 species